GAGCCUGUGCUAAGUCUAAAACUAUACAUGUGAUUGUAGUUGUCUCACCUCAAAUGCUAUGAGAAAUUAAUAUACUUCACUGCCAUACCUUAUAAAGGACAGAACUUUUUAUUUCCCCUCAAUUCUUAGGAAAUAUCUAAAUGUGACUAUAUCUAAUUGAGUUUCAUCCAAAUCUAGGCAUUGACGCAUUGCAUGAACUGAACCCUUCUGUAGGCAGACUGCUUUAUUUGAAGAACUUUGGGAUGGCUUGGGAGAUUCAAUUGCACAUCUGAGACUAACAGUGUGCGUGUGUGUGAAUGUUUGACACUAAGUUGUAAAGCAGUUUCCUGUCGAGUAUAGUGAGGAUUGUGAAUUAAUACUUUCUGGCUCCAGGUUAGCUUACCUAAUAUUGGGGAUUCAACCAUGUCCUCAAUGAACACGAUGUACUCUAUUAUGGAACCUAAUCUAGCUACCUUGCUUCAAUUUAUGGCAGUUGGAUGGCGACCCCAUGAGUGGAGAUAUUGGACGAGGUGCCACAAGGGAAUCAAUUGCCUUCGCUGUUUGAUUGGCUGCUGUGAAAGACAGGCCUCCUGGUUUGUAUCUGGAUUCCUAUGUUCAUAGAGAAUGUGUUAAGUUUCAAUUUUGCUUUUGGUAAGGUGUCAGUUCUAUACUCCUUCCAAAUGGUAGGUUUUCUUCAAUUGGAAGGUGGCACCAAUGCUCAAACAGUUGAAAAAAUUAAAGAAAAUGGGACUUUUUCAAACAA